rnacentral:snRNA from 1 species
AUUCCCUCGGGCCGGCCUUUUGGCUAUAGAUCAAGCAUAAUAUCUGAUCUGUUCUCUAUCUGAGAACUUUAUAUUAAAUGGAUUUUUGGAACAGGGAGAUGGAAUAGACGCUUGCUCCGUCCACUCCACGCAUCAACCCGGUAUUGCAGUACUUCCGGGCAUGGUGCACCUCCC